CCAGAGGAAGCUGAGGUUCAACAGAUGUUUCCAACACCAGUUCAGAAGGCCACACCGUCCAAACUGAAGCAGAGGCCUUCAUCUUGGUCUCGUAGAAGCAUGCCUUCCCCAGAUUUGACAGAAGACAGCUUCCGUGCAUCUAAGAACAGGUCUUCAGCCCAGAAGAACAAGAGUUCAGGAAGCAGGAGAGAUGGACCAUCAG